CACCAAUUUUGUGGCAAUUUCAAGUGUACGACCACCGACUAGGGAUCGGAGAAAGGCGUCGGCUACCUCUACCGAUAAUGUGUCGUCGAUGGGUCUUCCCACUCUUUUUGAUAUCCGAAUCUCUAUCGGUGAGUCUGCCUUGGCCAAUCCAUCAUUGGCCAGAUGACUCAUCAAAGUUGCACUUCUCCUGACUGACAGGG
rnacentral:lncRNA from 1 species